rnacentral:rRNA from 1 species
GAUGAACGCUGGCGGCGUGCCUAAUACAUGCAAGUCGAGCGAACGGACGAGAAGCUUGCUUCUCUGAUGUUAGCGGCGGACGGGUGAGUAACACGUGGAUAACCUACCUAUAAGACUGGGAUACCUUCGGGAAACCUUAUCUAAUACCGGAUAAUAUUUUGAACCGCAUGGUUCUACAGUGAAAGACGGUCUUGCUGUCACUUAUAGAUGUAUCCGCGCUGCAUUAGCUAGUUGGUAAGGUAACGGCUUACCAAGGCAACGAUGCAUAGCCGACCUGAGAGGGUGAUCGGCCACACUGGAACUGAGACACGGUCCAGACUCCUACGGGAGGCAGCAGUAGGGAAUCUUCCGCAAUGGGCGAAAGCCUGACGGAGCAACGCCGAGUGAGUGAUGAAGGUCUUCGGAUCGUAAAACUCUGUUAUUAGGGAAGAACAUAUGUGUAAGUAACUGUGCACAUCUUGACGGUACCUAAUCAGAAAGCCACGGCUAACUACGUG